GUAGGGAAUAUUGGGCAAUGGUCGGAAGACUGACCCAGCCAUGCCGCGUGCGGGAAGACGGCCCUCUGGGUUGUAAACUGCUUUUAUCUGGGAAGAAAAAGGCCAUGCGUGGCAAAUUGCCGGUACCAGAUGAAUAAGCACCGGCUAACUCCGUGCCAGCAGCCGCGGUAAUACGGAGGGUGCGAGCGUUGUCCGGAUUUAUUGGGUUUAAAGGGUGCGUAGGCGGCUGAUUAAGUCAGCGGUGAAAGACUUCGGCUUAACCGGAGCAGUGCCGUUGAUACUGGUUGGCUUGAGUGUCGGAGGGGUACAUGGAAUUGAUGGUGUAGCGGUGAAAUGCAUAGAUACCAUCAGGAACUCCGAUAGCGAAGGCAUUGUACUGGCCGACAACUGACGCUGAUGCACGAAAGUGUGGGGAUCGAACAGGAUUAGAAACCCCUGUAGUCC
rnacentral:rRNA from 1 species